rnacentral:rRNA from 1 species
AGAGCGAACGCUGGCGGCAGGCUUAACACAUGCAAGUCGAGCGCCCCGCAAGGGGAGCGGCAGACGGGAGAGUAACACGUGGGAACGUACCUUUCGGUUCGGAACAACCCAGGGAAACUUGGGCUAAUACCGGAUACGUCCGUAAGGAGAAAGAUUUAUCGCCGAAAGAUCGGCCCGCGUCUGAUUAGCUAGUUGGUGAGGUAACGGCUCACCAAGGCGACGAUCAGUAGCUGGUCUGAGAGGAUGAUCAGCCUCACUGGGACUGAGACACGGCCCAGACUCCUACGGGAGGCAGCAGUGGGGAAUAUUGGACAAUGGGCGCAAGCCUGAUCCAGCCAUGCCGCGUGGUGAUGAAGGCCCUAGGGUUGUAAAGCCCGUUUCGGCGGGGAAGAUAAGUGACGGUACCCGCAGAAGAGCCCCGGCUAACUUCGUGCCAGCAGCCGC